rnacentral:rRNA from 1 species
CAGCAGCCGCGGGAAUACGAAGGGGGCUAGCGUUGUUCGGAUUUACUGGGCGUAAAGCGCACGUAGGCGGAUCGAUCAGUCAGGGGUGAAAUCCUGGAGCUCAACUCCAGAACUGCCUUUGAUACUGCCGAGCUAGUAGGUGAGAGAGGUGAGUGGAAUUCCGAGUGUAGAGGUGAAAUUCGUAGAUAUUCGGAAGAACACCAGUGGCGAAGGCGGCUCACUGGCUCAUUCUAGACGCUGAGGUGCGAAAGCGUGGGGAGCAAACAGGAUUAGAUACCCGGGUAGUCCCUGUCUCUUAUAC